GAAUUCGCCCUUAGAGUUUGAUCAUGGCUCAGAACGAACGCUGGCGGCAGGCCUAACACAUGCAAGUCGAACGAAGCCUUCGGGCUUAGUGGCGGACGGGUUAGUAACGCGUGGGAACGUGCCUUUCACUACGGAAUAGUCCCGGGAAACUGGGUUUAAUACCGUAUACGCCCUUCGGGGGAAAGAAUUUCGGUGAAAGAUCGGCCCGCGUUAGAUUAGGUAGUUGGUGGGGUAAUGGCCUACCAAGCCUACGAUCUAUAGCUGGUUUUAGAGGAUGAUCAGCAACACUGGGACUGAGACACGGCCCAGACUCCUACGGGAGGCAGCAGUGGGGAAUCUUGGACAAUGGGCGCAAGCCUGAUCCAGCCAUGCCGCGUGAGUGAUGAAGGCCUUAGGGUCGUAAAGCUCUUUCGCCAGGGAUGAUAAUGACAGUACCUGGUAAAGAAACCCCGGCUAACUCCGUGCCAGCAGCCGCGGUAAUACGGAGGGGGUUAGCGUUGUUCGGAAUUACUGGGCGUAAAGCGCGCGUAGGCGGAUUGGAAAGUUGGGGGUGAAAUCCCGGGGCUCAACCCCGGAACGGCCUCCAAAACUCCCAGUCUUGAGUUCGAGAGAGGUGAGUGGAAUUCCGAGUGUAGAGGUGAAAUUCGUAGAUAUUCGGAGGAACACCAGUGGCGAAGGCGGCUCACUGGCUCGAUACUGACGCUGAGGUGCGAAAGUGUGGGGAGCAAACAGGAUUAGAUACCCUGGUAGUCCACACCGUAAACGAUGAAUGCCAGUCGUCGGAUAGCAUGCUAUUCGGUGACACACCUAACGGAUUAAGCAUUCGGCCUGGGGAGUAAGGUUGAAAGAUUUA
rnacentral:rRNA from 1 species